rnacentral:lncRNA from 1 species
UUUUUUACAAGUUUUUGUUGAAAAACUUAAUCAAAUUUAGUACAACUAAGGGAGAAAACAUAUUUUAAAAAUAUGAGUUUUAAAUAUCUUGAUGUUAAUUAUCACUCUUAAAUAUACAGGUUAUUCAAAAACUAGCGUAGAAGAUUUCCACGGAAGUCUUCUCGGAUCAGUUAAAAAUAGCAUUGACUAGAAGAUUUCCGUGUACGUCGUCUACAACCAGGCGACUUACCUGGAAGUCGUCUGGACGAACAGAUCUGGAAAAAAUCUAAUUUCAUAGUUUCAACCAGUGAGAUAAAUUGUUUAGCACACAAAAGUUUUCUCCAAGCACCCAAAAUCUCAAACAAAA